rnacentral:rRNA from 1 species
GACAGAGGGUGCAAACGUUGUUCGGAAUUACUGGGCGUAAAGCGCGUGUAGGCUGCUCAGAAAGUCGGAUGUGAAAGCCCUGGGCUUAACCUAGGAAGUGCAUUCGAAACUUCUGAGCUUGAGUUCUGGAGAGGAAGGCGGAAUUCUCGGUGUAGAGGUGAAAUUCGUAGAUAUCGAGAGGGACACCGGUGGCGAAGGCGGCCUUCUGGACAGUGACUGACGCUGAGACGCGAAAGCGUGGGGAGCGAACAGG